rnacentral:tRNA from 1 species
GGCGAUGUAGCUCAGUUGGCUAGAGCAUACGGUUCAUACCCGUAGUGUCAGCAGUUCGAAUCUGCUCAUCGCUACUA